UUUCCGUAGAUGAACCUGCGGAAGGAUCAUUCAUAAUAAAGUGUUUUAUGGCACUUUUUAAAAAUCCAUAUCCACCUUGUGUGCAAUGUUAGAUCUCGUCAAUCUUGGCGAGAUUUUUAUACAUCAACUCAUUCUUUAACUAAUUUGUCUGAAAAAUAUUAUGAAUACUUAAUUCAAAAUACAACUUUCAACAACGGAUCUCUUGGCUCUC
rnacentral:misc_RNA from 1 species